AGGUGUUCCCCAGCGGUUCAGGGAAAUCCGGCUCGUCCUGACACAGACACACUUUCACUGAAGCAGCUCUGCCAUCAACACUGCUCAGAAUCGUGUUUCCAGUCGGAUCAGCCCGGGGCUUAGAGGGUUAAACCUGCCCGAGAGAGAAAGAAAGAGAAAGCAAAAGAGGAGAAGUCCAAGAGGGACGCUCAUAAAGGAGGGAUUGUGUGGGAUUGUGUGAGGCAGGAUAGAACAGGAUCGCCCACGCCGAGCUCCGGCACUGAUGAUGACAUCAUCUGUUUGUUUGGUCAGGAACGGCUCGGCCUGCCCUGACAGGGAUUCCCCGUCCACUCCACAUGGACACCAUGUGACUCCUCUGUGUGUGUGUUUGUGUAUGAAAAUCAAGUCCCCAUAAAACCUGGAAACCCAA